rnacentral:misc_RNA from 1 species
AAGACUAUAGACCUGCGGAGUACCUGCGGAAGGAUCAUUAACGUGCCUUCGGGGCGGCCCGAUCCCGGGAAACCGGGGUUUGGUUCGCGCCGGAUCUGGCCCCACCCGUGUUUACCUGACUCUGUUGCCUUGGCGGGCCCGUCCGGCCCCACGGCCAGACCGCCGGAGGCUUAACCGCCCCUGGUCAGCGCCCGCCGAUGGCCUCAACUGAACUCUGAACUGAAGUGAUUGACUGUCUGA